GAAUCAACGCUGGCGGCGUGCUUCAGACAUGCAAGUCGAACGCGAAAGGUUCCUUCGGGAGCCGAGUAGAGUGGCGCUCGGGUGAGUAACACGUAGGUAAUUUGCCUUUGGGUGGGGAAUAACAAUCGGAAACGGUUGCUAAUACCGCAUAAUGCAGCGGCUCGACAUCGAGACAGUUGUUAAAGCGGGGGAUCCUUCGGGACCUCGCGCCUAAAGAGAAGCCUGCGGCGGAUUAGCAGUUGGUGAGGUAAUGGCUCACCAAGGCGACGAUCCGUAACCGGCCUGAGAGGGCGGACGGUCACACCGACACUUAAAUACGGGUCAGACUCCUACGGGA
rnacentral:rRNA from 1 species